rnacentral:lncRNA from 1 species
CACCAAAAAAGCCAACUGUUUGGUUCAGAUACGUAGAUGACACCUUCACGAUUUGGAGCCAUGGAGAGGAAGAACUCAGCAAGUUCCUGGACCAUCUUAACAGCAUCCACCCAAACAUCCAAUUCACCAUGGAAAAAGAAAAGCACAAUCAAAGCCCUGACAGACCGUGCACAAAGAAUCUGCGAACCUCACCUCCUCCAAGGUGAACUCAACCACCUAAACUGGGCUCUACAGGCCAAUGGAUACUCCACCACAGACAUCAGAAGAGCUGCAAGGCCAAGAACAAGCCAUGAGAGUCAAGACAAAGAUCCACCCAGAGGAAAGGUGUUCUUACCAUACAUCAAGGGAACUACUGACCGCAUAGGGAAGCUGAUGAAGAAGCACAACCUACAAACUAUCUACAGACCCACGAAGAAAAUCCAACAAAUGCUACGGUCAGCGAAGGACAAGAGGGAUCCUCUCUCUUCUGCAGGAGUCUACCGGAUACCAUGCAGCUGUGGACAAGUCUACAUAGGGACCACCAAACGCAGCGCCCAAACAAGAGUCAAAGAACAUGAAAGGCACUGCAGACUAAUUCAACCAGAGAAAUCAGCCAUAGCAGAGCAUUUGAUGAACCAGCCUGGACACAGAAUACUAUUUGAGAACACAAAAAUGCUGGACCAUUCUAACAACUAUCAUGUCAGACUACACAGAGAAGCCAUUGAAAUCCACAAGCAUGAGGACAACUUCAACAGAAAGGAAGAAACCAUGAAAAUGAACAAAAUCUGGCUACCAGUAUUAAAAAACUCAAGAAUCAGAACAGUAAAUAAAAAGCAAUACUCUGAAAACAGAGGAUUUCCAGACAUGAAUCAACCUAGGGCAGUUAACGACUCUAAACAAAGGAUGCCCCAGAGGCAGGAAGAAGACAGCAGAUAAGCUUUUCAAUGCUAAUUAAAGUGAUUAACUACACAACAUUCACACUGACCUCUCUCACCCUAGACUUUCCACAGAUAUAUAUUUACCUCUUGGCUUAGUUUUCUCCAUACCUCACAACCUCUGAGGAUGCCUGCCAUAGAUGUGGGCGAAACGUCAGGAGAGAAUGCUUCUGGAACAUGGCCACACAGCCCGAAAGAGAAAAUAGCAUUUUCUGAACAGGUUUUUUUUCCAGAAAUACAACUUC